rnacentral:tRNA from 1 species
GCCUGGGUGGCUCAGUGGGUUAAGCACCCAACUUCAGCUCGGGUCAUAAGUCUCGCAGUUUGUGGGUUCAAGCCCUGCAUCGGGCU